UACGGAGGGUGCAAGCGUUAUCCGGAUUCACUGGGUUUAAAGGGUGCGUAGGUGGGCAGGUAAGUCAGUGGUGAAAUCUCCGGGCUUAACUCGGAAACUGCCGUUGAUACUAUCUGUCUUGAAUAUCGUGGAGGUUAGCGGAAUAUGUCAUGUAGCGGUGAAAUGCUUAGAUAUGACAUAGAACACCAAUUGCGAAGGCAGCUGGCUACACAAAUAUUGACACUGAGGCACGAAAGCGUGGGGAUCAAACAGG
rnacentral:rRNA from 1 species